AAAUUUCUUUCAUGAAUAUAUGUUAUAGAAAUUUAUGGAUAAAUAUUUCCUAUGUGAUGUGUUUGUGUUAAAUUUACAUGUGGUAAUAGAUAAUAUAUGCAAGGUAAAUUUUGAUAUGUAUAGAGUUUAUCGUUUGAAAUUCAUUAUAUCGUCAACUUAAUGCACCGCACCACAUAUGAGAACACCCCCACAUGAGGAUCACCCUACACGUGUCCUCUAACUGUCUUUAAUCACACACCGCAAAAUCCGGAAUUGAUUAUUCCCAAUGCGCACCUAUAUAAGGGUGGCAUUGCUUCAUCCUCAAGGUAUGGUUCACUUUUCACCACACUUUCUACACACUCUUUCUCAGUUCCAUCAAUGACUUGAGCGUUGGAGUGCUAACGUGCCUGCAGAUACCUUUCUAUCCACCGCGAAGACUCAUCGCCACUAUACCGGAAACCAUUGUCGUCAUACCAGAGCAUCUUCUGCCACCAUUGCCUCUCAUCCAUCAUCACCGGACAUAUCAAUCACUAUUAUUUCUCUUUGGAAGAAAAAAUGAAUCACAUUUCCAAGUUCGUUUAUGCUUUGAUAAUCUUUUUGUCUGUAUAUCUCGUGGUACUCGAUGGUCGGCCUGUUUCAUGUAAAGAUCACUAUGACUGUCGGAGAAAAGUUAAAAUUGUAGGGUGUAUCUUUCCACAAGAAAAACCGAUGUGCAUUAACUCAAUGUGUACAUGCAUACGUGAAAUUGUACCAUAUUGUUGUAGAAGUGCAUCUCAAACGACAAAUAUGAUGAAAGAAUCAGCAGAUGGUGUGAAAAUUGAAGAAAUUGGAUUAUACACUUUGAUUAGAAUGAAUGUAUUUUAUUAGUUUUUUAAGCGAUAAUUAUUCUUUUGUACAAUUUGUUAUUUUACAUUCCAAAUAGUAGUAUUUCUAUA